rnacentral:rRNA from 1 species
UACGUAGGGGGCAAGCGUUGUCCGGAUUUAUUGGGCGUAAAGCGCUCGCAGGUGGUUCGAUACGUCGUGCGUGAAAGACCCCGGCUCAACUGGGGAGUGUCGUGCGAUACGGUCGGACUGGAGGCCAGUAGGGGGAUGCGGAAUUCCGGGUGUAGUGGUGGAAUGCGUAGAGAUCCGGAGGAACACCAGCGGCGAAGGCGGCAUCCUGGACUGGUCCUGACACUCAUGAGCGAAAGCGUGGGGAGCGAGUCCGG